rnacentral:rRNA from 1 species
UAGUCAUACGCUCGUCUCAAAGACUAAGCCAUGCAAGUCUAAGUAUAAAUCCUUUACUUUGAAACUGCGAAUGGCUCAUUAUAUCAGUUAUCGUUUAUUUGAUAGUCCCUUACUACUUGGAUAACCGUAGUAAUUCUAGAGCUAAUACAUGCGUCAAUACCCUUCUGGGGUAGUAUUUAUUAGAUGGAAACCAACCCCUUCGGGGUGAUGUGGUGAUUCAUAAUAAGCUUGCGGAUCGCCGGUGGCGAUGGAUCAUUCAAGUUUCUGCCCUAUCAGCUUUGGACGGUACGGUAUUGGCGUACCGUGGCUUUAACGGGUAACGGGGAAUUAGGGUUCGAUUCCGGAGAGGGGGCCUGAGAGAUGGCCACCACAUCCAAGGAAGGCAGCAGGCGCGUAAAUUACCCAAUCUUGACACAAGGAGGUAGUGACAAUAAAUAACAAUGCCGGGCCUUUAUAGGUCUGGCAAUUGGAAUGAGAACAAUUUAAACCCCUUAUCGGGGAUCAAUUA